rnacentral:rRNA from 1 species
GGUUAAGCGACUAAGCGUACACGGUGGAUGCCCUGGCAGUCAGAGGCGAUGAAGGACGUGCUAAUCUGCGAUAAGCGUCGGUAAGGUGAUAUGAACCGUUAUAACCGGCGAUUUCCGAAUGGGGAAACCCAGUGUGUUUCGACACACUAUCAUUAACUGAAUCCAUAGGUUAAUGAGGCGAACCGGGGAACUGAAACAUCUAAGUACCCCGAGGAAAAGAAAUCAACCGAGAUUCCCCCAGUAGCGGCGAGCGAACGGGGAGCAGCCCAGAGCCUGAAUCAGUGUGUGUGUUAGUGGAAGCGUCUGGAAAGGCGCGCGAUACAGGGUGACAGCCCCGUACACAAAAAUGCACAUGCUGUGAGCUCGAUGAGUAGGGCGGGACACGUGGUAUCCUGUCUGAAUAUGGGGGACCAUCCUCCAAGGCUAAAUACUCCUGACUGACCGAUAGUGAACCAGUACCGUGAGGGAAAGGCGAAAAGAACCCCGGCGAGGGGAGUGAAAAAGAACCUGAAACCGUGUACGUACAAGCAGUGGGAGCCUCUUUUAUGGGGUGACUGCGUACCUUUUGUAUAAUGGGUCAGCGACUUAUAUUCUGUAGCAAGGUUAACCGAAUAGGGGAGCCGAAGGGAAACCGAGUCUUAACUGGGCGUUAAGUUGCAGGGUAUAGACCCGAAACCCGGUGAUCUAGCCAUGGGCAGGUUGAAGGUUGGGUAACACUAACUGGAGGACCGAACCGACUAAUGUUGAAAAAUUAGCGGAUGACUUGUGGCUGGGGGUGAAAGGCCAAUCAAACCGGGAGAUAGCUGGUUCUCCCCGAAAGCUAUUUAGGUAGCGCCUCGUGAAUUCAUCUCCGGGGGUAGAGCACUGUUUCGGCAAGGGGGUCAUCCCGACUUACCAACCCGAUGCAAACUGCGAAUACCGGAGAAUGUUAUCACGGGAGACACACGGCGGGUGCUAACGUCCGUCGUGAAGAGGGAAACAACCCAGACCGCCAGCUAAGGUCCCAAAGUCAUGGUUAAGUGGGAAACGAUGUGGGAAGGCCCAGACAGCCAGGAUGUUGGCUUAGAAGCAGCCAUCAUUUAAAGAAAGCGUAAUAGCUCACUGGUCGAGUCGGCCUGCGCGGAAGAUGUAACGGGGCUAAACCAUGCACCGAAGCUGCGGCAGCGACGCUUAUGCGUUGUUGGGUAGGGGAGCGUUCUGUAAGCCUGCGAAGGUGUGCUGUGAGGCAUGCUGGAGGUAUCAGAAGUGCGAAUGCUGACAUAAGUAACGAUAAAGCGGGUGAAAAGCCCGCUCGCCGGAAGACCAAGGGUUCCUGUCCAACGUUAAUCGGGGCAGGGUGAGUCGACCCCUAAGGCGAGGCCGAAAGGCGUAGUCGAUGGGAAACAGGUUAAUAUUCCAGUACUUGGUGUUACUGCGAAGGGGGACGGAGAAGGCUAUGUUGGCCGGGCGACGGUUGUCCCGGUUUAAGCGUGUAGGCUGGUUUUCCAGGCAAAUCCGGAAAACUAAGGCUGAGGCGUGAUGACGAGGCACUACGGUGCUGAAGCAACAAAUGCCCUGCUUCCAGGAAAAGCCUCUAAGCAUCAGGUAACAUCAAAUCGUACCCCAAACCGACACAGGUGGUCAGGUAGAGAAUACCAAGGCGCUUGAGAGAACUCGGGUGAAGGAACUAGGCAAAAUGGUGCCGUAACUUCGGGAGAAGGCACGCUGAUAUGUAGGUGAAGUCCCUCGCGGAUGGAGCUGAAAUCAGUCGAAGAUACCAGCUGGCUGCAACUGUUUAUUAAAAACACAGCACUGUGCAAACACGAAAGUGGACGUAUACGGUGUGACGCCUGCCCGGUGCCGGAAGGUUAAUUGAUGGGGUUAGCGGUAACGCGAAGCUCUUGAUCGAAGCCCCGGUAAACGGCGGCCGUAACUAUAACGGUCCUAAGGUAGCGAAAUUCCUUGUCGGGUAAGUUCCGACCUGCACGAAUGGCGUAAUGAUGGCCAGGCUGUCUCCACCCGAGACUCAGUGAAAUUGAACUCGCUGUGAAGAUGCAGUGUACCCGCGGCAAGACGGAAAGACCCCGUGAACCUUUACUAUAGCUUGACACUGAACAUUGAGCCUUGAUGUGUAGGAUAGGUGGGAGGCUUAGAAGUGUGGACGCCAGUCUGCAUGGAGCCGACCUUGAAAUACCACCCUUUAAUGUUUGAUGUUCUAACGUUGACCCGUAAUCCGGGUUGCGGACAGUGUCUGGUGGGUAGUUUGACUGGGGCGGUCUCCUCCUAAAGAGUAACGGAGGAGCACGAAGGUUGGCUAAUCCUGGUCGGACAUCAGGAGGUUAGUGCAAUGGCAUAAGCCAGCUUGACUGCGAGCGUGACGGCGCGAGCAGGUGCGAAAGCAGGUCAUAGUGAUCCGGUGGUUCUGAAUGGAAGGGCCAUCGCUCAACGGAUAAAAGGUACUCCGGGGAUAACAGGCUGAUACCGCCCAAGAGUUCAUAUCGACGGCGGUGUUUGGCACCUCGAUGUCGGCUCAUCACAUCCUGGGGCUGAAGUAGGUCCCAAGGGUAUGGCUGUUCGCCAUUUAAAGUGGUACGCGAGCUGGGUUUAGAACGUCGUGAGACAGUUCGGUCCCUAUUCUGCCGUGGGCGCUGGAGAACUGAGGGGGCUGCUCCUAGUACGAGAGGACCGGAGUGGACGCAUCACUGGUGUUCGGGUUGUCAUGCCAAUGGCACUGCCCGGUAGCUAAAUGCGGAAGAGAUAAGUGCUGAAAGCAUCUAAGCACGAAACUUGCCCCGAGAUGAGUUCUCCCUGACUCCUUGAGAGUCCUGAAGGAACGUUGAAGACGACGACGUUGAUAGGCCGGGUGUGUAAGCGCAGCGAUGCGUUGAGCUAACCGGUACUAAUGAACCGUGAGGCUUAACCUU